rnacentral:lncRNA from 1 species
UUUAUUAUGCAUCUCAUGAUUAUGUGUUUUUUAUUUAUAUUCUGAAUAUUAUGAUCGAAUUCAUUAGGCGAUGACAAACUAUGAAAUGAAGAAGUCAAAACGACUAAAAAGUAAGUGUAAAUUGUACUAAUUAUAUAUCACAUAUAUGUGAAAGAGGCAUACAACCUGAUACAACUGCUUUAUUAUUUUGUAUAAGAAGCAUAACAGUUUGCAACUGACAAUCAGCUGCUGUAUUUGACCAUGAAACACUAGUGUUGUACCUAACGUAGCACCCCGUACUCGACUACGUUCCGAUAACUCAUUAAUGGUUUUGUUAAUGUAUAUAUUCGUGCUUCUGGAUACAAAUUUUCGAUUUACAUAAACAACUGCACAGGCAAUAUGUCAAAUUUAACAACCUUUUUUAUUAUACGAUUUUUUUUUAUCUACGAUAAUUCACUCAUAAGGGGUUGAAUGAUUUUAAGUACUGGGACCGAAUCCUUACCAUGGCAGGCAUAUGGUUAGGAAAUAAUCAUCACUUUUAUUUUCCUUUGAAGAAAAAUGUUAUAGUUUUAUUUACUAGUAGUUAUUCCAUUCUGCUUAUAAAUCUGCAGCACCUUCAAUAACAAAUUACCGAUGUUAAAAUUCUCAAAAAUGUAACAAGUCCCUUUUUAUAACUGUGAAAAAAAGUUAUGUUAUACCUUCAGUCACAGUUUCGAAGAAUACUCAAACUACUAAGUGAAAGACUAAAUCACGGAAGCAAAAUUAGCUGCGGAGAAAGAUACCAUAAAUCUGCCUGCUACUAUAAAUGAACCACCUGCGGUAAGAUUUAUUUCUUCAAAAUAACCUUUAUAUUAUGAAAAGUUCAUGUGGGAAUAUUGAAUAUUUUGGUAGGACUAUAACAGCUUGUCUUAAAUUUUACGAUUAAUAGUAUUAACAAGCAGAUCAGAAAAAUGUAUUAGAUUUCUUUUUACUUACUUUUUUGGGCAUUUUUACUUUUUUUUUAAUUUGAGCGUUACCAACGUACAUUACGUAACUGAUACGUAUUUUAUUGUCAAUGGUCUGAAACACAACAUGUGAACCCUGGUGUACAUGUAGAUGACGUGGUUGAUAUAUUUUGAGUUCUCACACUUAAUUAAGUUAUGUGUAUAUUAAUACUAUCCUCGACAGGUUAACAAAGUUAUCAAGUUCCAUCUAUUACAGCUUAGUCAUGAUACUAUUACAAUAUUUUUUAAUAAAACACACAUUGAAUUGAACUUAGAUUGCAUUACAAAAAGGGUAGCUAGCUUUACAGCACAACUAAAUGUUUAUCAUUAAACGAACAUGUAAUAUGCUUACUAUCAGAUUUUCCAAACAAUAAGAGUGUUAAGAUGUGACAUGGUAGUAAAGGCAAUAACUCUCCAUUAAAAACC